rnacentral:Y_RNA from 1 species
GGCUGCUCCGAGUGCAGUGGUGUUUACAACUAAUUGAUCACAACCAGUUACAGAUUUCUUUGUUCCUUCUCUACUCCCACUGCUUCACUUGACUAGCCUUAA